rnacentral:rRNA from 1 species
AACCUCCGCAAUGUACGAAAGUGCGACGGGGGGAUCCCAAGUGUUAUGCUUUUUUGUAUAACUUUUCAUUAGUGUAAAAAGCUUUUAGAAUAAGAGCUGGGCAAGACCGGUGCCAGCCGCCGCGGUAACACCGGCAGCUCGAGUGGUUUAGCUGUUUUUAUUGGGCCUAAAGCGUUCGUAGCCGGUUUGAUAAGUCUUUGGUGAAAGCUUGUAGCUUAACUAUAAGAAUUGCUGGAGAUACUAUCAGACUUGAAGUCGGGAGAGGUUAGAGGUACUACCGGGGUAGGGGUGAAAUCCUAUAAUCCUGGGAGGACCACCUGUGGCGAAGGCGUCUAACUGGAACGAUCUUGACGGUGAGUAACGAAAGCCAGGGGCGCGAACCGGAUUAGAUACCCGGGUAGUCCUGGCCGUAAACGAUGUGGACUUGGUGUUGGAAUGGCUUUGAGUUGUUCCGGUGCCGAAGGGAAGCUGUUAAGUCCACCGCCUGGGAAGUACGGUCGCAAGACUAAAACUUAAAGGAAUU